UAAUACUCUCACUUCUCUGCACCUUACCAACUAAUUUUUCAGUGUCCAUGUUGAGUCAGAGGAAUGAGUUUGAAUCAAGCAAGCUUAGUAGGGAGAGUUAUUGAGUUCCUUUCUGACAUAAUGACACUCCAACUACUGCAUACUUCACUCUCUAAGAUAUUAUCAUCUUCUCAAAAAUAACAUACACAAUACAUACCAAGUUAUGCUAAUGAACAAAUAUCAUAUCUAUACAUAGUUUUAAAUUGCGGCCGCACUGUAAAUACUGUAAAGAUUUUUUAGGUAUCUGCAACGACAUCACAACUGAAGUUUCGAUCACAUCAACCACAUAUUGAGGAUGGAUCUUAUUCAUGUCUACCUAAGGAUCAUAGAUCUAUAAGGAUUCAGAAGCAUAUGAAGAGCCAAAUAAGAUUAUUUAAGAAUGCAACACUUCAAAAGCAAUAAUUGUUCAGUAGUAUGUUCAAAAAUGGAGUCUCAUCUUGCUGAUGAGGACAGGUCAAAGUUUUAAGUCAACACCCUUGACUAUUCCGUCUUUUUUUUCAAACUUAUGGGGUGUGCAUAUGUGACGUGCCAAAACGGGACGUCCAUGCCGUUUGCCACGACGAAGAUAACUUAUGCGCAAACACUAUGAGAAUUAGGUACGUCAACUUCUCCUAAUACCACAAGGGGGAGUCCUAUAGCAUCUACUUUCAAAUAUAUGUUACUAUCACUGAAAUAUGUUAAACCAAAUGAUGCAGAAACUACUCUCAUUUUCAAAUGACAACAUAUGCAUUUGGUGCUUUU